CUGCAGACUCCGAUCACUUCUACUGUGCUUCAGUGUGAAGGGGAACCAGGUCUGCUAUAGUAAUAAGGUACAAAGACAGUG
ensembl:snoRNA SNORA66 Small nucleolar RNA SNORA66